rnacentral:rRNA from 1 species
GACGAACGCUGGCGGCGUGCUUAACACAUGCAAGUCGAACGGAAAGGCCCUGCUUUUGUGGGGUGCUCGAGUGGCGAACGGGUGAGUAACACGUGAGUAACCUGCCCUUGACUUUGGGAUAACUUCAGGAAACUGGGGCUAAUACCGGAUAGGAGCUCCUGCUGCAUGGUGGGGGUUGGAAAGUUUCGGCGGUUGUGGAUGGACGCGCGGCUUAUCAGCUUGUUGGUUGGGUAGUGGCUUACCAAGGCUUUGACGGGUAGCCGGCCUGAGAGGGUGACCGGCCACAUUGGGACUGAGAUACGGCCCAGACUCCUACGGGAGGCAGCAGUGGGGAAUAUUGCACAAUGGGCGGAAGCCUGAUGCAGCAACGCCGCGUGCGGGAUGACGGCCUUCGGGUGGUAAACCGCUUUCGCCUGUGACGAAGCGUGAGUGACGGUAAUGGGUAAAGAAGCACCGGCUAACUACGUG